rnacentral:rRNA from 1 species
GACGUAGGGCGCGAGCGUUGUCCGGAUUUAUUGGGCGUAAAGAGCUCGUAGGCGGCUUGUUGCGUCGACUGUGAAAACCUGCGGCUCAACCGUGUGGUCUGCAGUCGAUACGGGCAGGCUGGAGUUCGGUAGGGGAGACUGGAAUUCCUGGUGUAGCGGUGAAAUGCGCAGAUAUCAGGAGGAACACCGGUGGCGAAGGCGGGUCUCUGGGCCACUACUGACGCUGAGAAGCGAAAGCGUGGGGAGCGAACAGG